GGCCAGACUCCUACGGGAGGCAGCAGUGAGGAAUAUUGGUCAAUGGGCGAGAGCCUGAACCAGCCAAGUCGCGUGAAGGAUGAAGGAUCUAUGGUUUGUAAACUUCUUUUAUAUGGGAAUAAAGUGAGGAACGUGUUCCUUUUUGUAUGUACCAUAUGAAUAAGCACCGGCUAACUACGUGCCAGCAGCCGCGGUAAUACGUAGGGUGCGAGCGUUAAUCGGAAUUACUGGGCGUAAAGGGUGCGCAGGCGGCACGGCAAGCCGGCGGUCAAAUCGCGGGGCUCAACCCCGCCCAGCCGUCGGAACUGCCGGGCUAGAGUGGGCGAGAAGUGCGCGGAAUGCGUGGUGUAGCGGUGAAAUGCAUAGAUAUCACGCAGAACUCCGAUUGCGAAGGCAGCGCACCGGCGCCCUACUGACGCUCAGGCACGAAAGCGUGGGUAUCGAACAGGAUUAGAUACCCUAGUA
rnacentral:rRNA from 1 species